rnacentral:rRNA from 1 species
UACGUAGGGUGCAAGCGUUAAUCGGAAUUACUGGGCGUAAAGCGUGCGCAGGCGGUUUUGUAAGUCUGUCGUGAAAGCCCCGGGCUCAACCUGGGAAUUGCGAUGGAGACUGCAAGGCUUGAAUCUGGCAGAGGGGGGUAGAAUUCCACGUGUAGCAGUGAAAUGCGUAGAGAUGUGGAGGAACACCGAUGGCGAAGGCAGCCCCCUGGGUCAAGAUUGACGCUCAUGCACGAAAGCGUGGGGAGCAAACAGGAUUAGAAACCCCCGUAGUCC